GGGGUUGUGGCUCAAUGGUAGAGCGUUUGCCUAUCAUGUAUGAGGCACUGGGUUCUAUCCUCAGCACCA
rnacentral:tRNA from 1 species